rnacentral:lncRNA from 1 species
CCAGCUGUCUGGGGUUCAGCCAGGGUGUGGGCCUCUUGACCUCACCCCUUUAUCCUAGCCUCUCACUAUACCCUCUGUUGGCUUGGAAGUCUGAUGACUGCUCUCUGGUUCAGCUCCUCUACCGGACACGUCUGUGUUAGAGUCUCCAGCACUUACUACACACAUAUAAAGAACACACAGGAGCUCCAGCUAUCUGUCUCCAAUGGCCUCCAGGAGUUAACACACUGCUUAUCUGAGUUCCCCUCUGCUUGCUGCUAGUGCAGCUUCUCAGGGUUAGGCACUAAAGAUAGCUUCAUCUAUUUUUAACUCUCUCAGCCAUAAAGAAUAUUUUUCUUGGCAUACAUUCUCUAUUCAGGGCUAAGUCCCCCACCAUGACCAUCAGUCUAUAGGAUCAGUCUUGAAGUUUCUAUUAAGCAUUUCUGAUUCCUGAGGUCAUAUGGAAACUUGUCUUCUCUCAGGUAAGCUUUACUUUUUCUCUUUAUAUUGACAGAAACAAUAUAAAAGGAUAAAAAAUUUAUUUGGCCUAUAGCAAUGUUGUAAUACACCAUUACAGACACUUCAAAUCAAAGUGGGGACUUGAAGCAGUUAGUUACAGCCACAGUCAAGAGCAGAGAGAGAAUAGACACAUACUCCCUAGCACUCAGCUUGCUUUCUCUAUUUCUGUACAGUCCAGGAUGCAGUCAUCAAAUAUUGCUAUAGCCAGGAGAGACCACUUUAUACCAAUUAGCCUAAUUAGGAUAAUAUCUCAAAAACAUGACAACAGUUUACCUGAUCAAGCCAAUCCCGUAUUGGGAAUUUCUUUCUCAAGUGAUUCUAGAUUGUGUUAAGUUGACAAUUAAAACUAAUUCUCACACUUG